rnacentral:rRNA from 1 species
CAGGGAUUGCCUCAGUAACGGCGAGUGAAGCGGCAACAGCUCAAAUUUGAAAUCUGGCUCCCGCCGGGGUCCGAGUUGUAAUUUGUAGAGGGUGUUUCGGGCGAGCCACCGGUCUAAGUUUCUUGGAACAGAACGUCACGGAGGGUGAGAAUCCCGUCUGCGACCGGGGCACGGCGAGCCCGUGUGUGACCCCUUCGACGAGUCGAGUUGUUUGGGAAUGCAGCUCAAAAUGGGUGGUAAAUUCCAUCUAAAGCUAAAUAUUGGCCAGAGACCGAUAGCGGACAAGUAGAGUGAUCGAAAGAUGAAAAGCACUUUGGAAAGAGAGUUAAACAGUACGUGAAAUUGUUGAAAGGGAAGCGCUUGCGACCAGACCGGUCCGGGGGCGAUCAGCCGCGGCUCGUCCGCGGUGCACGCGCCCUCGAUCCGGCCAGCAUCGGUUCGGGCGGCGGGACAAAAGGCGCGGGAAUGUAGCUCCUCCCGGGGAGUCUUAUAGCCCGGGCCGCAAUGCCGCCCGCCCGGACCGAGGACCGCGCUUCGGCUAGGAUGCUGGCGUAAUGGUCGCAAGCGACCCGUCUUGAAACACGGACCAAGGAGUCUAACAUCUAUGCGAGUGUUUGGGUGGAAAGCCCGGGCGCGGAAUGAAAGUGAACGGAGGUGGGAGCCUUCGGGCGCACCAUCGACCGAUCCUGAUGUCUUCGGAUGGAUUUGAGUAUGAGCAUAGCUGUUGGGACCCGAAAGAUGGUGAACUAUGCCCGGAUAGGGUGAAGCCAGAGGAAACUCUGGUGGAGGCUCGCAGCGGUUCUGACGUGCAAAUCGAUCGUCAAAUCUAGGCAUAGGGGCGAAAGACCAAUCG